rnacentral:rRNA from 1 species
GAUGAACGCUGGCGGCGUGCCUAAUACAUGCAAGUCGAGCGAACAGAUGAUGAGCUUGCUCCUCUGACGUUAGCGGCUGACGGGUGAGUAACACGUGGAUAACCUUCCUCUAUUACUUGGAUAACUUCGGGAAACCGGAGCUACUACCAGAUCAUAUAUCCUACCGCAUGGUUCAAUAGUUCAUGACGGUUUUGCUGUUUCUUUUAGCUGGUUUCGCGCCGCAUUAGCUAGUUGGUAAGGUAACGGCUUACCAAGGCAACGAUGCGUAGCCGACCUGAGAGGGUGAUCGGCCACACUGGAACUGAGACACGGUCCAGACUCCUACGGGAGGCAGCAGUAGGGAAUAUUCCGCAAUGGGCGAAAGCCUGACGGAGCAACGCCGCGUGAGUGAAGAAGGCCUUCGGAUCGUAAAACUCUGUUAUUAGGGAAGAACAAAUGUGGAAGUAACUAUGCACGUCUUGACGGUACCUAAUCAGAAAGCAACGGCUAACUACGUG